rnacentral:lncRNA from 10 species
CAUUUGGGGAAAAAAUUAGUUUUGCCUGUGAAAAAAGAGAAGUUUUCACAAAGGAAGUGACAUUUGACCAGAGUAUUGAACAAGAGGACUUCACCUAGCAGGCAAGUAUUAGAAGAAACCCACAGGAGAUGGAAUAAGAUAAACAGAGACUGAGAGGCAGCAGAAAAGAAACUGUGUCUUUGGGAAACGGACAGUAGUUUGGUUUGGCUGAGAUGUGUGGUGCAUAAUAAGGAGUUAGAGGAGAAAGGAAAGGUGAGUUGGAAGAAGAACCCAAGAGGAAGAGGAGUCACAUAUUAAACACUCAGGCUUUAUACUUGAUCCUGGAGGUAGUGGAUGUACAUGUUGAUUUUUAAGCAAGGAAGUAAAACUAUAUUUUUAGCCAAGCAAAACUAGCAGGGUAGGAAAUUUCUAAGUAGACAAUGAUUACUCCUCUAGAUUAUCACUCUUCUUUCACCUCAUUCUCAUUCUUUUAUUUUCACUUUCCCACAGUAGCUCAGUGCUGAUCCUCAUCCCAACCCAGCAAAUCUGUCCCCUACACCUGCUAGAAGAGGGAAGAUUCUUUAUGAUCUUGUUCAGUUUUUUUCACCAAAAUUACCUAUUUUGUGUUCCUUUCUCAAGAUAUCCAUACUUACUAAGGUAAUGAAUUAAUGAAAUAAACACAUUCAACAUCAAAGUAUUCAUUGAAUACCUAGAAUAUGUCUUACAGAUAAGCCAAUACUGAGAGAUAAGGUAGUUCUGUACAUCAGUCAUAAAAAUAUCAUGCUUUCAAAGCAUAUCUCAUUUAACACAUUUUAAAAUGGAUUUUGUAUUCCCAUUUCACA